ensembl:lncRNA
GCCAAGGAGACAUUUAAUAAGGCCUAGAUGUUUGCAACAGGCUGGGCUCUGUGUCGGGACUGAAAACUGAAGGGAAAAUAGACCCUGUCCACACAAGUAUGAUGACUAUGCUGGACACCAUCAUCCGUAGGAACCGGAGGUCUCUCUCAGAUCAACCUGCACUUACGCUACCGAGGGAGUGCGGACUCUAGGCAGUGCCGUUAUCUCCUGCAGGCUGACACACUACCUCAGCUCUGCUGUGCCUGCAUUUGCUAUUCUGCUUAAUGUGCUGUGGUCUAUGCCCAUGCCAGGGGUUCAAAUGAAGACUUCCUCCAUAGUUCAUCAAUACUUACUUCCCAGAUAGUGGUGCUAUUUGGGGAAGCCUGGGAGGCGAUGUGUGGCCUUGUUGGAGGAAUUGUCACUGAAGGUGAGCUCCGAGAGCUUGAAGGACUUGACCUACUCCCAGUUUUCUUCAGCUUCUUGCUUGUAGGUGAAGAUGUGAGUUGUCAGCUUGUUCUAGCCUCCAUACCUGCUGUUCGUCCCCAUGGUGGACUUUUAUCCCUGUGGAACUGUAAGCCUAAAUAAACCCUUCCUUCUGUAAGUCAUCCUGGCUACAGAGUUUC